AGUCUAUCAUUUUCAUAUGACUACAAUUAAUAUUUACCUGUUUUAUACAGUAAAUGAAAAGCUGGUGAUUAAACAUGGAAAACUUGUUGGUUUUGUUGAUUUUGGACAUGUUAGUUCUUCUGAAGAGAGCUGUUUAGCAAGUCAUAUUUUAGUAUUUUAUGUCCGCACAAAACAAAGGGAGGUAUCUAUUCCCAUUGCAUGGUACCCAACAAAAUCAACUCCAGCAUAUGUAUUGUCAUUAAUGUUUUGACAAGUGUGAAAAAGCAGGGGUGCAAAUUCUUGCUGUUGUAGCUGAUGGUGCAGCCACUAACACAAAGUUUUUUAAACUGGUUAGUGGCUUCAAUGAAAUACCUCUGCAUAAACCUUUCACUGCACCAAAUCCACAUGAUCCAACUCGGAAAGUGUUUUUAUGUUCAGAUCCCUCUCAUUUGUUAAAGACUGCUAGAAAUGGACUUUACGGUUCAAAGCCAGGUGGGACUCGUCUUAUGACAUUAGAUGGAAAAUGUGUUAUGUGGACGCACAUUGCUGAACUAUAUGCACAAGAAAUGGCAAUGCCAGUCCUUUAUAGAACAAACCUGCAAAAAAAGCAUAUUGUGCUGACACCAUUUUCAAAGAUGAAAGUCAAUCUGGCCAGGGAUGUCUUAAGUUGGAAAGUUGGUCAAUGUUUGAGUGUGAUGCAGAAUGCUGGUGGCACAGCAGGCUUUGUUCUAUCUGUUUGCAUUUUUAUUUAUAGAAUAUUCUGAACUAAUGGGAUUAUUUUAACAGAUGGUUUGAUAUUGUUAAUCGUGGCCCUUCAUGUCCAAUCCGAAGCAUGAAUGACGCUUUAAUGUAAUAAUGUACCUUAACUGUUAAAAGGGGGUGUAAUGUACAGUGUCGCCCUAAAUUGUCGUUUAUUUACUCCCCAUUGUUUUCCGAUGCCAGCGCGAUUCUUUUCUCCUUUGUUUCGUAUGCAUGGUUGAUUUUCGUCUCGUGUGUAUUUGACUUUGUUCGUCCUCAGUUCUAUUUAACGACGGCUGCACAGUGCACGUCUCCGUCUACGCUUUAUGUUAUUUUAAGUUACCUCUACGUUCAUGCUGUUUUAAGUUCAGUUCCUAUUUUUAACCAUUCUUUAUUUUCUAUUUGAAUAAGGGGCUAGAGAUAGAAAUUGUUAUUUGAAAUGCUUCACAAUUGGAAAGCGUAGAUACCCACAUACCCCUACACUCUGCGUCAACGACCGUUUGAAAUACCCCUUGAUUUCCCUCCCUUAUACCCGAACGUUGAUUUGUUUUACUACUAAGUUCUCAGUCGCGUGCAUUGUCAUUGUUGUUAAAAUCGUUGGUUGGGGAUUAAAGUUGUUCCGAUGGAA